rnacentral:lncRNA from 1 species
GGAUAUAGAUGGGUAGUUCUUUCCCUAACCUUAUGUUUGUUGAUAUGCCAUUGAAGUGAUGAUUUUGCUACAUGUUGUCACUACAUCAAGGUAGCACAUCACCAAGCAAAUCAUCUAUCCUCAAAUCUACCAACAACUAGACACCUAGCCAUAACACACCAUUCUAAAGUCCUGGUAUAUAAAUACCCCUAGUGCAUGCAAACCAUACAUCUAAUGUUAUGACGUAUCAUUAAUAAAUACUACACGAUUAAGAUAAAUGACAUGUUUACAGAUUUAUUAGCAUGAUAUGGAACAUAGGCC